GUGAGGAAUUUUCCGCAAUGGGCGAAAGCCUGACGGAGCAAUGCCGCGUGAAGGAUGAAGGCCUAUGGGUUGUAAACUUCUUUUCUCAGAAAAGAAUUAUGACGGUAUCUGAGGAAUAAGCAUCGGCUAACUCUGUGCCAGCAGCCGCGGUAAGACAGAGGAUGCAAGCGUUAUCCGGAAUGAUUGGGCGUAAAGCGUCUGUAGGUUGUUUAAAAAGUAUUCUGUCAAAGAUUAGGGCUUAACCCUAGAUAGGCAGAAUAAACUUUUAAGCUAGAGUUUGGUAGAGGCAGAGGGAAUUCCCGGUGGAGCGGUGAAAUGCGUAGAUAUCGGGAGGAACGCCAAAGGCGAAGGCACUCUGCUGGGCCAAUACUAACACUGAGAGACGAAAGCGAGGGGAGCAAAUGGGAUUAGAUACCCGUGUAGUCC
rnacentral:rRNA from 1 species